rnacentral:rRNA from 1 species
GUGUUUUCAUUAAUCAAGAACGAAAGUCAGAGGAUCGAAGACGAUUAGAUACCGUCGUAGUUCUGACCGUAAACGAUGCCAACUAUCAAUCCGCCAGCAGCUCUCGGUUGUUGGCGGGCGGAUCGACGGAAACGAAAGUGUUUCGGUUCCGGGGGAAGUAUGGUUGCAAAGCUGAAACUUAAAGGAAUUGACGGAAGGGCACCACCAGGAGUGGAGCUUGCGGCUUAAUUUGACUCAACACGGGAAACCUCACCCGGCCAGUACAUCAUAAGGAUUGACAGAUUGAAAGCUCUUUCAUGAUUUGAUGAAUGGUGGUGCAUGGCCGUUCUUAGUUCGUGGCGUGAGUCGUCUGCUUAAUUGCGAUAACGAGCGAGACUCCGACUGUUAAAUAGCACAAGGUUUUUUUUGACUUUGACGCUUCUUAACUGGAUUGGGAUCUUCAAGAUCCAAGAAAUGGAGCAAUAACAGGUCUGUGAUGCCCUUAGAUGUUCGGGGCCGCACGCGUGCUACAAUGAUGGUAACAGCGUGAUUGUCCUCGCUCGACAGAGCUUGGCAAACAGUUGAGAUAUUAUUAUGGCUGGAAUUGAGUGUUGAAAUUUUCUCUCAUGAACGAGGAAUUCCAAGUAAAUGCGAGUCAUCAACUCGCAUUGAUUACGUCCCUGCCCUUUGUACACACCGCCCGUCGCUACCCAGAACUGAGUUGUUUCGAGAAAUUUACGGACCUGCCCCCUCGGGGACGGGAAAGUAACUUAAUCGCAAUGGCUUGAACCGGGUAAAAGUCGUAACAAGGUAUCAGUAGGUGAACCUGCUGAUGGAUCAUUAACGAGAUCACUCAAACCUUUGAAGUUGACUUCUAGCGGGCGCUAGAAUUGACUUCUACGGCAUUUUCCAACUUAAAUGUUGGUUGAAAUCCAACGGCUUCGUUUGGGUCUCUAUGUCUUGCUGAGCAGUUGUGUUCCACGUCCGUGGCUGCAAAGAAGCGAGAUGGCAAAACUGGUUAAAUUUGACUGGUUUAGAAUUAAAGAACCGUUGGGUCGCCCAAGCAAACACAUUCACUUUUAAUUCUUUUUAAAAUUACCAAAAAAUUAUCAAG